GCCGGGGUGGCGGAAUGGUAUACGCGGAGGUCUCAAAAACCUCUGUCCGCAAGGGCAUACGGGUUCGAGUCCCGUCCCCGGCA
rfam:Gemmatirosa kalamazoonesis strain KBS708, complete genome.